UACAGAGGGUGCGAGCGUUGUUCGGAAUUACUGGGCGUAAAGCGCGCGCAGGCGGCUAUCCAAGUCAGUGGUGAAAGCCCGGAGCUCAACUCCGGAACUGCCAUUGAAACUGUUUAGCUUGAGGACGAGAGAGGUGAGUGGAAUUCCCAGUGUAGAGGUGAAAUUCGUAGAUAUUGGGAAGAACACCGGUGGCGAAGGCGGCUCACUGGCUCGUAUCUGACGCUCAGGCGCGACAGCGUGGGGAUCAAACAGG
rnacentral:rRNA from 1 species